rnacentral:rRNA from 1 species
UACAGAGGUCUCAAGCGUUGUUCGGAUUCAUUGGGCGUAAAGGGUGCGUAGGCGGCGCGGUAAGUCGGGUGUGAAAUCUUGGAGCUUAACUCCGAAACUGCAUUCGAUACUGCCGUGCUAGAGUACAGAAGGGGCAACUGGAAUUCUCGGUGUAGCGGUGAAAUGCGUAGAUAUCGAGAGGAACACCUGCGGCGAAGGCGGGUUGCUGGGCUGAUACUGACGCUGAGGCGCGAAAAGCCCAGGGGAGCGAACGGGG